rfam:Felis catus cont1.401363, whole genome shotgun sequence.
AGUUGGUCCGAGGGUUGUGGGUUAUUGUUAAGUUGUUUAACAGUGUCUCCCCCCGACAACCAUACUUGACUGGCUUUGCCUUUU